AUGCUAUUUUAUCUUAAAUUUCUAGUAACUUUGAUCUUUAUUUUGUGCAUUUUAUUUUUCUUUCUUUGUUUUUCUUUGUUUUACAGGUAUUUCAUGCAAAAAGGAAAUGACAUGGAAAGUUGGCCACUACUACCCACUGGUAGCAUGUACUUUGGUCGUAGUGCAACUGGAAUCGACCGCAUAUUCCAUUUUCUCCGAUGUAUUUUUUGA